AAUGCAGAGUGCCCGGCCAAUUCGACCACCGAUUGGCCGGGGUUUCCGCCACUCAUUUCAGUAUAUGUCCCCGUCACUGCCACGUCACCCCCUCCCAUCACUCUUCUCUUCGUCCCCGUUCCAUCCUUACGGAUUGGUGGUUGGUAUCAGCUGCUCAGCCUUUUCUACCAUUUGCUGAACAAGCUGAGGAAAAGGGGAAGGAGUCUCGGUUUCUCAUCCCCACUUUCAUUUCUCAUUGGUUCGCAUGUAUGUCACUCACAGGUUGGCGGAGAGACGGGGUGAGGAUUGGAGACGAUUGGUUCCGGAUAUUGUCUGUGAUUGCUGAUGCUUGGCAAUGCUGACCAAUAACAGAGACGUACUGAGAGAGGGGCUGGCUGGAGGCAACCACUAAAAUCCGGGAAAGAGCUUGGAGGCGUGUUCGUCUGCUUCUAGCUUUUCGGAGUGGGCGAAGAGCGAGUUCUCUUCCCCAAACGCGUUUUUUUGUUGUUGUUGUUGUUGUUUUCCCACUUAGGUGCAGUGUUGCAUUCCCUCUUCCAGAGUUAAGACCAUCGUAGUUUCCCGCUGGGAAGAGUGACUCUCAGCAGUUAGCCACUGCCCGAGAAGCUACCUUGGAGGGCCUCCUGCUAGCAGCUGGAUCUGAGCUGGAGACCGGGAUUCCUGGGGAGUCCAGUAAUAGCUUCCCCAGUUCCUUCCUGGAUCCAAGAUCCUCCUAAGUCCCUUCCCUGGUUUGUUCAUCAUCGCACCACACCCCUUAUCUCGUGAUUCUAGAUUGUCCUGUGCUCUGGUUAGAGUAGGAAGCUAGUUAGCUUUUAACAGGAUACCUGGAGGCCAGGAAAGGGGAAGUCGUGGACAGCGCAGCUACAAGAAAGUCAGAGGCCCGUCCUGGCAGCAAAGCCACAGGAAGCCGGAUCAAACUGGACUGGCCCAAAGUGUCUGACAAAGAAGGCUGGAAACCCCUGACCAAAUAAGGAAGGAAAGGCGCCAAACGCUGCUUUCAACACAUCCCCGCCUCGGGUAAUAAAUAUCCCACCCCCUAGUUAACAGCUGUCGACAGAAAGUAGACAUCCAAACCCCCAGUGUGCAGUUCUCCCUGGAGCCGGCCCGCUCUCACCUCUCCAGAGCAUACUUUCACUUUAAUAAACUUUCCUGCUUGCAACUGCUCCUCCACUAUGUCUGGUCUGUCCUUGAAUUCUUUCUCGCGAUGAGACCCAGAGCCUCCAGGGACAUCCUUGGAAUGCACUGGGUGGAGGCCUCAGGGGACGAACGGGUCUCGCCAGUCCACCUGGCAACAUCUUUUUGGGGAACCAGUCAGAAGGAGGUAACCUGCGUGUUGAGGGACCCUCUUCAUCAACUCCCAACAACUUCAUUUAUAAGUGAUGGUUGCACCAGGGAUUCCAAUCUAUCUGCCUUGAAGAUGAAACCUACCAACACCCUCUGGACCAAGCCUGCGACUUCCUUUUACUCCCCACUGCCCAUCAGGUUUCCUAAAAUUCAGAUAGCAAGGACUUCCGGAGCCCUCAGGCAGAGUCAACAUCCCACACCAGCAUGAAGUAUUUACAGAAGAUGUACCAUCGCCCAUUUUCCCUGAAAAGAUUUUAAGGGCCCAGAGUCCAUGGUGGGGGAGGGGAAUGUUAGAGUAGGCAGCUAGUUAGUUUCUAACAGGAUACCUGGAGACCAAAAAAGGGGAAGUUGUGGCCAGCUCCGUUAUAAGCAGGUCAGAGGUGGGUCCUGGCCCAAAACAAAGCCACAAGAAACCAGAUCAAACCAAGCCGGCUGACAAAGAAGGCUGGAAAGCCCUCACCAAAUAAGGAAGAAAAGGUAUGAAAUCCUGCUUCCAAGAAAUCCCCACCUCAAGUAAUAUUCCACCCCCUAAGUUAACAGCUGCUCAAUAAAAGGUAGACACCCAAA